rnacentral:rRNA from 1 species
UGAACGCUGGCGGCGUGCCUAAUACAUGCAAGUCGAGCGAAUGAUGAGGAGCUUGCUCCUCUGAUUUAGCGGCGGACGGGUGAGUAACACGUGGGUAAUCUGCCUGUAAGACGGGGAUAACUCCGGGAAACCGGGGCUAAUACCGGAUAACAAGAGAAGAAGCAUUUCUUCUUUUUGAAAGUCGGUUUCGGCUGACACUUACAGAUGAGCCCGCGGCGCAUUAGCUAGUUGGUGAGGUAACGGCUCACCAAGGCGACGAUGCGUAGCCGACCUGAGAGGGUGAUCGGCCACACUGGGACUGAGACACGGCCCAGACUCCUACGGGAGGCAGCAGUAGGGAAUCUUCGGCAAUGGGCGAAAGCCUGACCGAGCAACGCCGCGUGAGCGAUGAAGGCCUUCGGGUCGUAAAGCUUCUGUUGUUAGAGAAGAACAAGUCGAGAGUAACUGC